rnacentral:rRNA from 1 species
UACAGAGGUGGCAAGCGUUGUUCGGAAUUACUGGGCGUAAAGGGCGAGUAGGUGGCCAUCUAAGUCAGACGUGAAAUCCCCCGGCUUAACCUGGGAACUGCGUCUGAUACUGGACGGCUUGAGUAUGGGAGAGGAACGUAGAACUCCAGGUGUAGCGGUGAAAUGCGUAGAUAUCUGGAGGAAUACCGGUGGCGAAGGCGGCGUUCUGGACCAUUACUGACACUGAAUCGCGAAAGCUAGGGGAGCAAACGGG